AGCCCAGAUCACCAGUUAAGGUCCCUAAAUUUAUGCUAAGUGGAAAAGGAUGUGGCGUUGCACAGACAACUAGGAUGUUGGCUCAGAAGCAGCCACCAUUUAAAGAGUGCGUAAUAGCUCACUAGUCGAGUGGCACUGCGCCGAAAAUAUACCGGGGCUAAGCAUAAUACCGAAACUGUGGGUGCACCCGUCAGGGUGCGCGGUAGGAGAGCGUUCUAAGGGCGUUGAAGGUCGAUCGUGAGGACGGCUGGAGCGCUUAGAAGUGAGAAUGCCGGCAUGAGUAGCGAAAGAUCAGUGAGAAUCUGAUCCACCGUAUGACUAAGGUUUCCUGGGGAAGGCUCGUCCUCCCAGGGUUAGUCGGGAUCUAAGGCGAGGCCGCAAGGCGUAGUCGAUGACAAGCAGGUUGAGAUUCCUGCACUAGUUUAUUUUGUUUAAGCGAUGGAGGGACGCAGGAGGCUAAGGAAAGCGCACGGCUGGAAAAGUGCGUCCAAGCAGUAAGUCCGGUAGCGAGUGAAAUGCUUGCCGCCUUAAGGACAAGCUGUGAUGGGGAGCGAAAUUAAAGUAGCGAAGUUCCUGAUGUCACACUGCCAAGAAAAGCUUCUAGUGAGAAAUAAACUACCCGUACCGCAAACCGACACAGGUAGUCGAGGAGAGUAUCCUCAGGUGAGCGAGCGAACUCUCGUUAAGGAACUCGGCAAAAUGACCCCGUAACUUCGGAAGAAGGGGUGCUGACCGCAAGGUCAGCCGCAGUGAAUAGGCCCAAACAACUGUUUAUCAAAAACACAGGUCUCUGCUAAAUCGUAAGAUGAUGUAUAGGGGCUGACGCCUGCCCGGUGCUGGAAGGUUAAGAGGAUGAGUUAGCGCAAGCGAAGCCCAGAAUUGAAGCCCCAGUAAACGGCGGCCGUAACUAUAACGGUCCUAAGGUAGCGAAAUUCCUUGUCGGGUAAGUUCCGACCCGCACGAAAGGCGUAAUGAUUUGGGCACUGUCUCAACGAGAGACUCGGUGAAAUUAUAGUACCCGUGAAGAUGCGGGUUACCCGCGACAGGACGGAAAGACCCCAUGGAGCUUUACUGUAGCUUGAUAUUGAGUGUUGGUACCGCUUGUACAGGAUAGGUAGGAGCCGUAGAGAUCGGAACGCUAGUUUCGAUGGAGGCAUUGGUGGGAUACUACCCUAGCUGUAUGAACACUCUAACCCGCGCCACUAAUCGUGGCGGGAGACAGUGUCAGGUAGGCAGUUUGACUGGGGCGGUCGCCUCCUAAAAUGUAACGGAGGCGCCCAAAGGUUCCCUCAGAAUGGUUGGAAAUCAUUCGCAGAGUGUAAAGGUAGAAGGGAGCUUGACUGCGAGACUGACAAGUCGAGCAGGGACGAAAGUCGGGCUUAGUGAUCCGGUGGUUCCGUAUGGAAGGGCCAUCGCUCAACGGAUAAAAGCUACCCUGGGGAUAACAGGCUUAUCUCCCCCAAGAGUCCACAUCGACGGGGAGGUUUGGCACCUCGAUGUCGGCUCAUCGCAUCCUGGGGCUGUAGUCGGUCCCAAGGGUUGGGCUGUUCGCCCAUUAAAGCGGUACGCGAGCUGGGUUCAGAACGUCGUGAGACAGUUCGGUCCCUAUCCGUCGCGGGCGCAGGAAAUUUGAGAGGAGCUGUCCUUAGUACGAGAGGACCGGGAUGGACGUUCCGCUGGUGUACCAGUUGUGCCGCCAGGCGCAUCGCUGGGUAGCUAUGAACGGAAGGGAUAAACGCUGAAAGCAUCUAAGUGUGAAGCCCCCCUCGAGAUGAGAUUUCCCAUUCCUAUAUGGAAGUAAGACCCCUGAAAGAUGAUCAGGUAGAUAGGCUGGAAGUGGAAGUGCAGCGAUGCAUGGAGCGGACCAGUACUAAUCGGUCGAGGACUUAACCAA
rnacentral:rRNA from 1 species